rnacentral:rRNA from 1 species
GACGAACGCUGGCGGCGUGCUUAACACAUGCAAGUCGAACGGAAAGGCCCUGCUUUUGUGGGGUGCUCGAGUGGCGAACGGGUGAGUAACACGUGAGUAACCUGCCCUUGACUUUGGGAUAACUUCAGGAAACUGGGGCUAAUACCGGAUAGGAGCUCCUGCUGCAUGGUGGGGGUUGGAAAGUUUCGGCGGUUGGGGAUGGACUCGCGGCUUAUCAGCUUGUUGGUGGGGUAGUGGCUUACCAAGGCUUUGACGGGUAGCCGGCCUGAGGGGGUGACCGGCGACAUUGGGCAUGAGAUACGGCCCAGCCUCCUACGGGAGACAGCGGGGGGGAAUAUUGCACAAGGGGCGGAAGCCGGAUCCAGCACCGCCGCGUGCGGGAUGACGGCCUUCGGGUUGUAAACCGUUUUCGCCUGUGACGAAGGGGGAGUGAGGUUAGGGGGUAAAGAAGCACCGGCUAACUACGUG